rnacentral:rRNA from 1 species
GUUGAACGCUGGCGGCGUGCCUAAUACAUGCAAGUCGAGCGAAGCGGGGACGGGUGAGUAACGAGUGGCGAACCUCCGAUAAGACUGUGAUAACUUCGGGAAACUGGAGCUAAACCGGAUACUUAGAGAUGUGUCCGGGCUGCAUUAGCUAGUGGUUAAGGUAACGGCUUACCAAGGCAACGAUGAAUAUCCGCCCUGAGAGGUGGAUCGGCCACACUGGAACUGAGACACGGUCCAGACUCCGACGGGAGGCAGCAGUAGGGAAUCUUCCGCAAUGGGCGAAAGCCUGACGGAGCAACGCCGCGUGAGUGAUGAAGGUCUUCGGAUCGUAAAACUCUGUUAUUAGGGAAGCGGUACCGAAUCAGAAAGCCACGGCUAACUACGUGCCAGCAGCCGCGGUAAUAC